UGGGGGAAUAUUGCACAAUGGGCGCAAGCCUGAUGCAGCCAUGCCGCGUGUGUGAAGAAGGCCUUCGGGUUGUAAAGCACUUUCAGCGAGGAGGAAGGUGGUGAACUUAAUACGUUCAUCAAUUGACGUUACUCGCAGAAGAAGCACCGGCUAACUCCGUGCCAGCAGCCGCGGUAAUACGGAGGGUGCAAGCGUCAAUCGGAAUUACUGGGCGUAAAGCGCACGCAGGCGGUUUGUUAAGUCAGAUGUGAAAUCCCCCGGGCUCAACCUGGGAACUGCAUUUGAAACUGGCAAGCUAGAGUCUCGUAGAGGGGGGUAGAAUUCCAGGUGUAGCGGUGAAAUGCGUAGAGAUCUGGAGGAAUACCGGUGGCCGAAGGCGGCCCCCCUGGACGAAGACUGACGCU
rnacentral:rRNA from 1 species